rnacentral:rRNA from 1 species
GACGAACGCUGGCGGCGUGCUUAACACAUGCAAGUCGAACGGCAAGGCCCUGCUCUUGCGGGGUGCUCGAGUGGCGAACGGGUGAGUAACACGUGAGUAACCUGCCCUUGACGUGGGGAUAACUUCAGGGAACUGGGGCCAAUACCGGAUAGGAGCCCCCGCUGCAUGGGGGGGGUUGGAAAGUUUAGGCGGUUGGGGAUGGACUCGCGGCUUAUCAGCUUGUGGGUGGGGUAGUGGCCUACCAAGGCAUUGACGGGUAGCCGGCCUGAGAGGGUAGCCGGACCAGUUGGGAUGGAAAUGAGGCCCGGACCCGUACGGGAGGCAGGAGAGGGGUAUGUUACAUAAUGGGAGGGGGCCUGAUGCAGCGACGCAGCGUGCGGGAUGACGGCCUUCGGUUUGUAUACCGCUUUCGCCUGUGACGAAGCGUGAGUGACGGUAAUGGGUAAAGAAGCACCGGCUAACUACGUG